GGUCCCCGCCCCGCGUGCUCAGGCUGAACAGCUUUUCUUCCCUGAUCUCUCGGAGGCGCCGGCUGCUGGCCAACGCAGGGCAGCCUCCUGCGUGCGUGCUGUGGGUUUCUCCUUCAGUUUCCUCACAUUGCCUGAGGUUGGGCCCGAACACGGCGGUACAUUUCCUUGAGAUUUGAAAACAAUUUGUAGCCAACUUCAGUAUGAAUCAAAGCAUUGUUUUAAAAGGAAAGAUUCCUUCUGACAUUAAAUUGCAUUUUCCAAGAACCAGCAACAUCAACCAUCCAGACUUUAAUUAUGGAAUCACAGGUGCAACUGCGUAUCUCCUCAGUAGAGGACAGGAAGAUUUGUGUGACUGGGACUUUAUGGAUUUGGCAUCUCCUGCAAGAUGUGUGUCCAACUCCUGAGAAUACUGUAGCAUGAUUAUAGAAUUGGUUUCUAUUGUCUGUUUUCUGUUUGUUGCUCUCUCAUAAGUUAAGAAUCUUGGAUUUCAAGUCUAUAGUGUAACACUCUUGUUCAUAAUUUCUUAUUAAAAAAUGUUUAAAUAUUUCUAUAUUAAGUAUUUUUUCAAACUAUUAGGGCUUGCUAUUGAACAAAUGUUCUGUUUGUAUUGUAUAUUUUGAAGGUGCUAAAAAGCAUCACUAAAACAUUUUGGAAUAUAACAGAAAGAUGGUUAAUACAUUAUACUGACUACUUUUUUC
rnacentral:sRNA from 1 species